UGUCUUUGUUCUACAAGGGAGAAAAUUGGUUUUUUUCAAAGCUAUAUCAUGUUUGCAUGUGCUAACUCAUAAAUCAGUUCUAACUCGUUGCUACAACCAUGUGUGUGUGUGUGUGUGUGUGUGUGUGUGUGUGCAUGGAAAUUCACACUUAAAUAGUGUUUCUGAAGCACAUCUGUGUUAGUGUUGUGCAUACCACCUUGAUCUGAGUCAG